GUGGCGCGUUUUUACUCGCUAGUUGUCUGAGGAGAAUACUCUCAAUUUCAACAGAAAUCAGACCCAUUUAUGUCCUAGCUUAUCAAUAUGGCAUCAGAAAAUGAUGAAACUUAUGAACGUUCAGUCAAACAGUACAUCGAGAUAUGUGAGAGAUGUUUCCGAACUUGUCUCAAACCUCGUGGAACAAUGCGACUUAGCCCUGGAGAGGUAAAUUGCAUGGAAGCAUGCAUAAGGAGAGAAUUAAGACGCAACAAACAGAGGGCAGAAAUCACCUCUCAGCA